GAUGAACGCUAGCGGCAGGCUUAACACAUGCAAGUCGAGGGGUAGAGGCUUUCGGGCCUUGAGACCGGCGCACGGGUGCGUAACGCGUAUGCAAUCUGCCUUGUACUGGGGGAUAGCCCAGAGAAAUUUGGAUUAAUACCCCAUAGUAUCUUCGGUUGGCAUCAACUGAUUAUUAAAGUUUUUCGGUACAAGAUGAGCAUGCGUCCCAUUAGCUAGUUGGUAUGGUAACGGCAUACCAAGGCUACGAUGGGUAGGGGUCCUGAGAGGGAGAUCCCCCACACUGGUACUGAGACACGGACCAGACUCCUACGGGAGGCAGCAGUGAGGAAUAUUGGUCAAUGGUCGCAAGACUGAACCAGCCAUGCCGCGUGCAGGAUGAAGCAUCUAUGGUGUGUAAACUGCUUUUGUACGGGAAGAAACACUGCUACGUGUAGCAGCUUGACGGUACCGUAAGAAUGAGGAUCGGCUAACUCCGUGCCAGCCGCCGCAGUAAUAC
rnacentral:rRNA from 1 species